AGCUUAGUGGUUAGAGCAGGCGACUCAUAAUCGCACGGUCAUCGGUUCAAAUCCGUUACCA
rnacentral:tRNA from 1 species